UUCCUACGGGGGGCAGCAGUGGGGAAUAUUGCACAAUGGGGGAAACCCUGAUGCAGCGACGCCGCGUGAGUGAAGAAGUACCCCGGUACGUAAAGCUCUAUCAGCAGGGAAGAAAAUGACGGUACCUGACCAAGAAGCCCCGGCUAACUACGUGCCAGCAGCCGCGGUAAUACGUAGGGGGCAAGCGUUAUCCGGAUUUACUGGGUGUAAAGGGAGCGGAGACGGAAAGGCAAGUCAGAAGUGAAAACCCAAGGCUCAACCAUGGGACUGCUUUUGAAACUGUCAAACUAGAGUACGGGAGAGGG
rnacentral:rRNA from 1 species